GAUGAACGCUGGCGGUAUGCUUAACACAUGCAAGUCGAACGGACUCUUCGUAGUUAGUGGCGGACGGGUGAGUAACGCGUGAGAAUCUGGCUUUGUGUUCUGGACAACCACUGGAAACGGUGGCUAAUACCGGAUGUUCCUAGAGGUAAAAGAGAAAUUGCCUGAAGAUGAGCUCGCGUCUGAUUAGCUAGUUGGUGAGGUAAAGGCUCACCAAGGCAGCGAUCAGUAGCUGGUCUGAGAGGAUGACCAGCCACACUGGGAAUGAGACACGGCCCAGACGACUACGGGAGGCAGCAGUGGGGAAUUUUCCGCAAUGGGCGAAAGGAUGACGGAGCAAUACCGCGUGAGGGAAGAAGGCUCUUGGGUUGUAAACCUCUUUUCUUAGGGAAGAACAAAAUGACGGUACCUAAGGAAUCAGCAUCGGCUAACUCCGUG
rnacentral:rRNA from 1 species